rnacentral:rRNA from 1 species
UGCCAAGCGAAUAAGAGCGUGUGGGGGAUGUCUUGGCGCCAAGAGGCGAUGAAGGGCGUGGCAGACUGCGAAAAGCCUGGUGGAGCUGUCAAACGAGCGUUGAUACCAGGAUCCCUGAAUAAUUGCAUACUGAAUACAUAGGUAUGCAAAGCGAACCCAGCGAACUGAAACAUCUCAGUAGCUGGAGGAGGAGAAAGAAAACUCGAUUCCGUCAGUAGCGGCGAGCGAAAGCGGAACAGCCCAAACCGACCGGUAUAUCCGGCCGGGGUAGUAGGGUCUCAAGUGGAGUGAACAAACUUGUUGCGAGCGGAAGGAACUGGGAAGUUCCGCCGUAGAGGGUGAUAGUCCCGUAUGCGUAAGUGACGAGUCUCUGUUGAGGUACCUGAGUACAUCCUGUCACGUGGAAACAGGAUGGAAUCUGCGGGGUCCAUCCCGCAAGGCUAAAUACUCCUUGGCGACCGAUAGUGAAGAGUAGCGCGAGCGAAAGAUGAGAAGAACCCCGGGAGGGGAGGAAAGUGAACCUGAAACCACACGCUUACAAGCGGUCGGAGCCCGAUUUAGCGGGUGACGGCGUGCCUUUUGCAUAAUGAUCCGGCGACUUAUCGUAUCUGGCCAGGUUAAGGUGUUGAGCACCGGAGCCGAAGCGAAAGCGAGUCUGAAUAGGGCGCGAAGUCAGGUGCGUUAGACGCGAAACCACGUGAACUACGCAUGAGCAGGAUGAAGCGGGGGUAAAACCUCGUGGAGGUCCGAACUCACUAGUGUUGAAAAACUAGGGGAUGACUUGUGUGGAGGAUUGAAAGUAUCGUCAAACGUGGAGAUAGCUCGUUCUCUCCGAAAUAACUUUAGGGUUAACGUUCUGGUAGUUGGCAGUGGGGGUAGAGCGACUGAAUGCGAUGGGGGGCCUACCCGGCUACCUCACGCAACCAAACUCCGAAUACCAUUGUACAAGCCAGGGCAGCUAGACUGCGAGGGAUAAGCUUCGUAGUCGAGAGGGGAACAACCCAGAUCGCCCGCUAAGGUCCCCAAGUCAUGCUAAGUGCGAAAGGAAGUGAGAUUCCGUAGACAGCCAGGAUGUUGGCUUAGAAGCAGCCAUCAUUUAAAAAGUGCGUAAUAGCUUACUGGUCGAGGAAUUUUGCGCCGAUAAUGAACGGGACUAAGCAUGACACCGAAGCGGCGGGCAGUGAGAACUGCGGUAGGAGAGCGUGGCGCGAUAGGAUGAAGGGGUACGGAUAACGAGCCCUGGACGAAGCGCCAGUGAGAAUGCCGGAACGAGUAACGCUAAAACGGGUGGGAAUCCCGUUCGCCGAAAGCCCAAGGAUUCCUGGGGAAGGUACUUCCGCCCAGGGUAAGUCGGACCCUAAGGUGAGGCCGAAAGGCGUAGCCGAUGGAAAACGGGUGCAUAAUCCCGUACCGCUAGCAAGGAUGAAGCAUCGUGACGCCGUGAAAGCUUGAAGCAUUCUGAUAGAUGGAUGUGUAGGGUGGCCGCGGACGAGAAAAGCCGAUGUGGACCCAUAAGCGACCGUACCUAUAACCGACACAGGUGGGCAAGAUGAGGAUUCUCAGGCGCUCGAGAGAACGCUCGUGAAGGAACUCGGCAACAUGGCCCCGUAACUUCGGGAUAAGGGGCGCCCUCGUGAGAGGGCCGCAGUGAAAAGGAUCUGGCGACUGUUUAUCAAAAACACAGGACUCUGCGAACUCGCAAGAGGAGGUAUAGAGUCUGACGCCUGCCCGGUGCUGGCAAGUUAAGGAAGAGGGUUAGCCGUAAGGUGAAGCUCGCAACCGAAGCUCCAGUAAACGGCGGCCGUAACUAUGACGGUCCUAAGGUAGCGAAGUUCCUUGUCGGGUAAGUUCCGACCUGCAUGAAUGGCGUAACGACCGGAUCACUGUCUCCACGAGCGACUCGGUGAAACUGUAGUUGUUGUGAAGAUGCAACAUACCCGCGAUUAGACGGAAAGACCCCGUGAACCUUUACUUACCCGCGAUUAGACGGAAAGACCCCGUGAACCUUUACUGCAGUUUGGCAUUGGGUUUAGGCCCAGUAUGCGUAGUGUAGGUGGGAGACUGAGAACCGGAUGUUCAGGCAUCUGGGGAGUCGAAAGAUGAAACACCACCCUUGCUGUGCUUGAAUUCUAACCCCGACCCAUGAAACUGGGCGGCGGACAGUGCUUAAUGGGCAGUUUGACUGGGGCGGUCUCCUCCCAAAGAGUAACGGAGGAGUCCCAAGGUACCCUCAGCCCGGUCGGCAAUCGGGCAGCGAGCGCAAUGGUAGAAGGGUGCUUGACUGCGAGUCCAAUCAGACGAGCAGGUGCGAAAGCAGGGCAUAGUGAUCCGGCGGUGCUGGAUGGAAAGGCCGUCGCUCAACAGAUAAAAGGUACUCCGGGGAUAACAGGCUUAUCUCCCCUGAGCGUUCAUAGCGGCGGGGAGGUUUGGCACCUCGAUGUCGGCUCAUCGCAUCCUGGGGGUGAAGAAGCUCCCAAGGGUUUGGCUGUUCGCCAAUGAAAGCGGUACGUGAGCUGGGUUCAGACCGUCGUGAGACAGGUCGGUCCCUAUCUGUCGUGGGCGUAGGAAAUUUGAGCGGUUUUCUCCCUAGUACGAGAGGAUUGGGAGGGACGUACCUCUGGUGUUCCAGUUGUUCCGCUAGGGGCAUUGCUGGGUAGCUAAGUACGGCACGGAUAAACGCUGAAAGCAUCUAAGCGUGAAACCCUCCGCGAGAAUAGAUUUCCAGUUCGUAAGAACGAAGGCUCCUUGAAGACCACGAGGUCGAUAGGCCGGACGUGUAAGGCCAGUAAUGGUUUAAGCUUACCGGUACUAACAGCCGAUGGCUUGGCAGC